rnacentral:lncRNA from 1 species
UCCGGACAUCGGGUACUGUUGCUAGAUGGUCAAUUCGAUUAGUACAGAAAUUGGUUCUUGUGCUACUGGCUUAGGUUCGAACCUGUGGGGUCACACACAUUAGAGGUUCCUAUCUGAUUUGAUAGCCGAUGUAGAAUCCUACAUGUUUGAGACUCGAUGAUCGAGAAUCAGGAUUCUCUGAUCAUGAGUUUCACACAUUAUGGGUACCGGGGU